rnacentral:rRNA from 1 species
UACGGAGGGUGCAAACGUUGCUCGGAAUCAUUGGGCGUAAAGCGCGUGUAGGCGGCUUUGCAAGUCGGGUGUGAAAGCCCUCAGCUCAACUGAGGAAGUGCGCCCGAAACUGCAGAGCUUGAGUGCCGGAGAGGGUGGCGGAAUUCCCCAAGUAGAGGUGAAAUUCGUAGAUAUGGGGGAGGAACACCGGUGGCGAAGGCGGCCACCUGGACGGUAACUGACGCUGAGACGCGAAAGCGUGGGGAGCAAACAGG